rnacentral:rRNA from 1 species
GAGCGGCGGACGGGUUAGUAACGCGUGGGAACGUACCCUUUUCUAAGGAAUAGCCACUGGAAACGGUGAGUAAUGCCUUAUACGCCCUUCGGGGGAAAGAUUUAUCGGAGAAGGAUCGGCCCGCGUUAGAUUAGAUAGUUGGUGGGGUAAUGGCCUACCAAGUCUACGAUCUAUAGCUGGUUUUAGAGGAUGAUCAGCAACACUGGGACUGAGACACGGCCCAGACUCCUACGGGAGGCAGCAGUGGGGAAUCUUGGACAAUGGGCGCAAGCCUGAUCCAGCCAUGCCGCGUGAGUGAUGAAGGCCUUAGGGUCGUAAAGCUCUUUCGCCAGAGAUGAUAAUGACAGUAUCUGGUAAAGAAACCCCGGCUAACUCCGUGCCAGCAGCCGCGGUAAUACGGAGGGGGUUAGCGUUGUUCGGAAUUACUGGGCGUAAAGCGCACGUAGGCGGAUCAGAAAGUUGGGGGUGAAAUCCCGGGGC